UAGCUCAGUCCGUUGAGCGCGGUGCUAACAACGCUAAGGUUACGGGUUCAAUUCCCGU
rnacentral:tRNA from 1 species